rnacentral:rRNA from 1 species
GACGUAGGGUCCAAGCGUUGUCCGGAUUUACUGGGCGUAAAGAGCGCGUAGGCGGUCUGUUAAGUGUAGAGUGAAAUCUCCAGGGCUCAACCCGGAAACUGCUCUGCAUACUGGCAGACUGGAGUGAUGCAGAGGUUUGUGGAAUUCCUGGUGUAACGGUGAAAUGUGUUGAUAUCAGGAGGAACACCCAUGGCGAAGGCAGCAAACUGGGCAUUAACUGACGCUGAGACACGAAAGCCAGGGGAGCAAACGGG